ensembl:miRNA
GCAGAAACCGUUACUUACAGGAACACCAUCCUGCUUUGCUCCCACUUUGUCCUGUGGCCUGAUUACCAGGAGCAGUGGGUGCAGACAGGCUGGCACUCUUGGGAUCAGCUUUCUGCUGAAGCUAC